GUAUCUGCACAAUUUAAGAAAAGAAAAUAAAACCUAUGGAUUUAGAUAAUGCUGAUUUAGGUAAUCUAACAAAUCUUUGUGCAGAUGAACAAGAAACUUAUCUAAGCUAACAGUGUUUAGCAUAUGGCUUCCUGAUCAGUUUGAAAAAGCUAAAAGCAACUAAGGAGUAAUCGGAUCACUUCUACGUUUUGUGGACGACACACUGCAUGUGUUUGGAGAUAAAUGGAUGCUCCGUUUAUUCUGACGAGAAAAGUAAACAGAGCUUGAUUUGAUUAUAUGAUGUCACCGAGUCGGAGAGAGCUAGCGUGCGGUAGCAUUUUAGCUGUGAUCACGCUUCAGUUUCUAUGUACCACAGAAGAGAAUGGACAUUUUCCAAACCAAAGACGAGUCUUUAGAAUUAUGUCAUAUUUGAUCUGCAGUCCAACCUCUAAGCAGGACUGUUACUUCAGUAGAUAAUGUUAUUCGUGGGGUUUGUGUAACAGAACCCCAUCGGAAUAUCUUUUCCUAGCACUAUUGCUGUGCUACAAAAGAGUAUAUAAUGAGUCAGCCAUAACUACAUGUUUUACUAAAAGUAAAGUUGUGCAGAAGUUUGUGUUUAUUUUUCUAAAUUUGUCCUGUUGAAUGUAGGUCAGAAUAAAAUAUGUUUGUGAAAAUGAUAAAUAAUUUUUUUUUAUAACUGACCUGCAUUUUCAUAUUACCAGUUGUGCCACAGGUAAAGAAGCUUAGCCAUUAUUGAUCUAUGUAAACAGAAGGUGUAGAGUCUCAACCAACUUGUUGACAAUUUUGUUUAAAAAUGUGUUUUCCAGCUACCGGAAGAAGCAGGCUCCUGAAACUGCAAUUCAGGGAGGUUAUGUGCAGUCAACCUCGACACCCAGUAAGAGAACAGCAGCUAAAAUGUCGCAUCGAUUAUCUCCAACUGAACCUGUGUCUGAGGGGGAAGAUUUUCUAAUGGCUGGUGUUGAGGCCUUAGCUGAUGACCUAGAUUUGGAUCCUUUUGAAGAAAGUUUCAAAUCCAUGGAUCUAGCUACGGAUGCAGUCCAAAUUGAUGAGGACCAAGCAAACAACUAACUCAACUGUGUGUGACU